UGACUUGCCCAGGGUCACACAGCUAGUAAGUGUCUGAGGCCAGAUUUGAAUCCAGGUAGAUGAGUCUUCCAGUCUCCAGGCCUGUCAUUCUAUAUAUUGCACCAUCUAGUUGCUCUUCCCUCCUCGUACACAGGUCUCCUGUGAGUUCAAGCCAAAGUGAUGUCCUCUUCAUUGCUCACAACAGCUCAGCUAAACUGAGGUAGAGGCCUUGGUGAAGCGUCUUUGUAGAAUUCUUUGGAAGGCUGAAAAACUAGACAAAUGUGGUGAACACCCCUGGAGAGAUAAUUCUAUGGAGACCAGCCUGUUGUUGGAAGACUUGUUUGGCCCUCAGAUGCUGCCUCUAAAGAAAAAGGAAGAGGCACAUAUUAAAACACUGUUUAAAAAAAUUAAGUAAGUAAAGAGGAACCUUGAUCCUUGAACUACC